AUUGAACGCUGGCGGCAGGCCUAACACAUGCAAGUCGAGCGAGCGGCGGACGGGUGAGUAAUGUAUGGGGAACUGCCCGAUAGAGGGGGAUAACUACUGGAAACGGUAGCUAAUACCGCAUACUAUCGGAUGUACCCAGAUGGGAUUAGCUAGUAGGUGGGGUAAUGGCUCACCUAGGCGACGAUCCCUAGCUGGUCUGAGAGGAUGAUCAGCAACACUGGAACUGAGACACGGCCCAGACUCCUAAUGGAGGCAGCAGUGGGGAAUAUUGCACAAUGGGCGCAAGCCUGAUGCAGCCAUGCCGCGUGUGUGAAGAAGGCCUUAGGGUUGUAAAGCACUUGCAGCGAGGAGGCGUUACUCGCAGAAGAAGCACCGGCUAACUCCGGGCCAGCCGCCGCGGUAAUUC
rnacentral:rRNA from 1 species